CCUACGGGAGGCUGCAGUGGGGAAUAUUGGUCAAUGGAGGAAACUCUGACCCAGCAACGCCGCGUGAAGGAUGAAGGUUUUCGGAUUGUAAACUUCUGUUGCUAGGGAUGAAGAUUGACGUUACCACGUAAUAAAGCCCCGCCAACCACGUGCCCGCCGCCGCCGUAAUACGGAGGGUGCCAGGGUUUCUCGGAAUCACCGGGCGUAAAGAGGGGGUAGGCGGGAUAUCAAGUCAUGUGUGAAAUCCUGUGGCUUAACCGUAGAACUGCAUAUGAAACUGGUAAUCUUGAGUAUGGGAGAGGUAGGUGGAAUUCGCGGUGUAGGGGUAGAAUGCGUAGAGAUCGAGAGGAAGACUCGAGGCGAAGGCGACCUGCUGGAACGUAACUGACGCUGAGGCUCGAAAGCGUGGGGAGCAAACAGGAUUAGAUACCCCAGUAGUC
rnacentral:rRNA from 1 species